rnacentral:rRNA from 1 species
GACGAACGCUGGCGGCGUGCUUAACACAUGCAAGUCGAACGCUGAAGCUCAGCUUUUGUUGGGUGGAUGAGUGGCGAACGGGUGAGUAACACGUGAGUAACCUGCCUCCUUCUUUGGGAUAACGCCCGGAAACGGGUGCUAAUACUGGAUAUUCACUGGUCUUCGCAUGGGGGUUGGUGGAAAGGGUUUUUCUGGUGGGGGAAGGGCUCGCGGCCUAUCAGCUUGUUGGUGGGGUGAUGGCCUACCAAGGCUUUGACGGGUAGCCGGCCUGAGAGGGUGACCGGUCACAUUGGGACUGAGAUACGGCCCAGACUCCUACGGGAGGCAGCAGUGGGGAAUAUUGCACAAUGGGCGCAAGCCUGAUGCAGCGACGCCGCGUGAGGGAUGGAGGCCUUCGGGUUGUGAACCUCUUUCGCUCAUGGUCAAGCCGCAACAAUGGUUGUGGUGAGGGUAGUGGGUAAAGAAGCGCCGGCUAACUACGUG